rnacentral:rRNA from 1 species
CCUACGGGUGGCAGCAGUGAGGAAUAUUGGUCAAUGGGCGUAAGCCUGAACCAGCCAAGUCGCGUGCGGGAUGAAGGUUCUAUGGAUCGUAAACCUCUUUUAUAAGGGAAUAAAGUGUGGGACGUGUCCUGUUUUGUAUGUACCUUAUGAAUAAGGAUCGGCUAACACCGUGACAGCCGCCGCGGUAAUACGGUGGAUCCGAGCGUUUUCCGGUAUUAUUGGGUUUAAAGGGUGCGUAGGCGGCUUUGUAAGUCAGCGGGGAAAGUCUGUGGCUCAACCAGAGAAUUGCCGUGGAAACUAGGAGGCUUGAGUAAGUUAGAGGCAGGCGGAAUGCGUGGUGUAGCGGUGAAAUGCUUAGAUAGCACGCAGAACCCCGAUGGCGAAGGCAGCCUGCCAGGCCAUGACUGACGCUGAUGCACGAAAGCGUGGGGAUCAAACAGGAUUAGAUACCCGGGUAGUC